GUGAUCAUCGAAUCUUUGAACGCAUCUUGCGCUCCUUGGUUAUUCCGAGGAGCAUGCCUGUUUGAGUGUCAUCUAAGUUAUCAACCACACUCUCUGGUGUGGCUUGGUUGUGGGGGGUUUUCUCUUUGCAGGCUUCAGAAAUGAGGUCAGCUCCCCUGAAAUGAAUUAGUAGUAUCUGAGCAGAGAAACUACCACAGGUGUGAUUAAUUUAUCUAUCUAUGCCUUGGUGUGCUGCAUGAACAGGUCACACUGCUUAUAACAAGUGGAACACCACAUUUGAUGAAUUUGACCUCAAAUCAGGUAGGACUACCCGCUGAACUUAAGCAUAUCAAUAAGCGGAGG
rnacentral:rRNA from 1 species